GGGCACCUCUCAAUUGGCAGG
rnacentral:miRNA from 1 species